rnacentral:rRNA from 1 species
GGGGGGGGGGGGGGGGGGGGGGGGCGGGUGGGGGGGGGGGGGGGGGGGGAGGGGUGUGUGGGGUGUGCGGGGGGGGGGGGGGGGGGUAACAGGUGUGUGGGCAGCCCUUGACUGUGGGAUACGUUCUGGUAACUGGGGCAAAUACUGGCGAGGAGCUCCUGCCGCAUGGGGGGGGUGGGCACGGUUCGGCGGUUGGGGAGGGACUGGCGGCUUAUCAGCUUGUUGGUGGGGUAGUGGCUUACCACGGCUUUGAGGGGACUCCGACCUGAGAGUUGAACCGGCCACAAUGGUACUGAGAGAGGGCCCAGACUCCAACGGUAGGCAGCAGUGGGGAAUAUUGCGCAAUGGGCGGAAGCCUGAUGCAGCAACGCCGCGUGCGGGAUGAAGGCCGUCGGGGUGUAAACCGCUUUCGCCGGUGACGAAGCGUGAGUGACGGUAAUGGGUAAAGAAGCACCGGCUAACUACGUG